rnacentral:rRNA from 1 species
CUAGCACUCCUACGGGAGGCAGCAGUGGGGAAUAUUGCACAAUGGGCGCAAGCCUGAUGCAGCCAUGCCGCGUGUAUGAAGAAGGCCUUCGGGUUGUAAAGUACUUUCAGCAGUGAGGAAGGUGGAUAUGUUAAUAGCAUAUUCAUUUGACGUUAGCUGCAGAAGAAGCAACCGGCUAACUCCGUGCCAGCAGCCGCGGUAAUACGGAGGGUGCGAGCGUUAAUCGGAAUUACUGGGCGUAAAGCGCAUGCAGGUGGUUUGUUAAGUCAGAUGUGAAAGCCCGGGGCUCAACCUCGGAAUUGCAUUUGAAACUGGCAAACUAGAGUACUGUAGAGGGGGUAGAAUUUCAGGUGUAGCGGUGAAAUGCGUAGAGAUCUGAAGGAAUACCGGUGGCGAAGGCGGCCCCCCUGGACAGAUACUGACACUCAGAUGCGAAAGCGUGGGGAGCAAACAGGAUUAGAUACCCUGGUAG